rnacentral:tRNA from 1 species
GGAAGGUUCGCAUAGUGGUCUAGUGCGCCGCCUUGGAAAGGCGGUAUACCUCACGGUAUCGGGGGUUCGAAUCCCCCACCUUCCG